GCUGGGUGUGGCAGUGUGCACCUGUAGUCCCAGCUACUUAGGAGACUGAGAUGGUAGGAGUGCUUAAACCCAGGAGUUUGAGACUGCAGUGUGCUCUGAUAUGACUGUGCCACUGCACUCCAGCCUGGGUGACAGAGCGAGACUCCAUUUAUUUAUUUAUUUAUUUAUUUAUUUAUUUAUUUAUUUGAGACGGAGUCUCGCUCUGUCACCCAGGCUGGAGUGCAGUGGCACAGUCAUAUCAGAGCACACUGCAGUCUCAAACUCUUGGGUUUAAGCACUCCUACCAUCUCAGU
rfam:Macaca mulatta chromosome 4, whole genome shotgun sequence.